UUUUCCGGUCGCGCAGGCGCAGAGAAGAUGGGAGGAGGUGGAGGAAGCGGCUGGGAGGGACCGCCUUAGUCGGGCUCCGGCGGCGGGCCGCGGCUUAGGAGCUGCAGCCCGGACGUUUGUAAGUGAGACACUUACAGAACAGAAAGUGAAGGCACAGUGACAAAAAGAGAGGGAAAGACAGAUCUUUUAUGCACCAGAUGACUCAUCCACAACAGCCAGCACUGGGCCAGGCUGAAGCCAGGAGCCAGGAACUCCAUCCUGAUCUUCCAUAAGAGUAACAGGGACCCAGGGGCCCAGCUGUUAUUGAGGUGGAUGUGACAGCUGUAUGCUUUGUUGGAGCCUAAAGCGGAAAGGGUGUGCAUGAGCAGGAAGCCGGAAUCAGGAAUGGACACAGACUUGAAUGCAGAAGACAAUGCUAUGGCACAGUGGACUAAGCCACCAUCUAUAGUGUCAGCAUCCCAUAUGGGCACUAGUUCAAGUCCCAUCCUGGCUGUUCCACUUCUGAUUCAGCUCCCUACUAAUGUGCCUGCAAGAACAAUAAAGGAUGGACCAAGUGCUUGGGCCUCUGCAUUCACGUGGAAACUCAGAGGAAGCUCUUGUCUCCUGGUUUCAGCCUGACCCAGCCAUGGUUGUUGUGGCUAUUUGGGGGAGUGAACCAGCAAAUAGAUCUCUCUCUCUCUGUCUUUUCCUCUCUCUCUGUAAUUCUUUAAAAUAAAAUAAAUUAAUCUUUAAAAAAUAAAGACUUGAAUGUAGACACUCU